UACAGAGGGUGCAAGCGUUAAUCGGAGUUACUGGGCGUAAAGGGCACGUAGGCGGUCGUAUAAGUCAGUUGUGAAAUCCCCCGGGCUUAACCUGGGAACUGCAGCUGAUACUGUAUGACUCGAGUCGAAGAGAGGGAAGCGGAAUUUCCGGUGUAGCGGGUGAAAUGCGUAGAUAUACGGAAGGAACAUCUGUGGCGAAGGCGGCUUCCUGGACCGGUAUUGACGCUGAGGCGCGAAAGCCAGGGGAGCAAAGCGGG
rnacentral:rRNA from 1 species